UGGGGAAUAUUGGACAAUGGGGGCAACCCUGAUCCAGCAAUGCCGCGUGUGUGAAGAAGGUCUUCGGAUUGUAAAGCACUUUCGACGGGGACGAUGAUGACGGUACCCGUAGAAGAAGCCCCGGCUAACUUCGUGCCAGCAGCCGCGGUAAUACGAAGGGGGCUAGCGUUGCUCGGAAUGACUGGGCGUAAAGGGCGUGUAGGCGGUUUACACAGUCAGAUGUGAAAUCCCCGGGCUUAACCUGGGAGCUGCAUUUGAUACGUGUAGACUAGAGUGUGAGAGAGGGUUGUGGAAUUCCCAGUGUAGAGGUGAAAUUCGUAGAUAUUGGGAAGAACACCGGUGGCGAAGGCGGCAACCUGGCUCAUGACUGACGCUGAGGCGCGAAAGCGUGGGGAGCAAACAGGAUUAGAUACCCUGGUAGUCCACGCUGUAAACGAUGUGUGCUAGAUGUUGGGUAACUUUGUUAUUCAGUGUCGCAGUUAACGCGUUUAAAGCACAC
rnacentral:rRNA from 1 species